ACAACAUUCGGACCGUCGGUCUACCGAGCAAUGUCACCCGCUCGGUGGAAGAUCUUCCCUCCGUCGU
rnacentral:pre_miRNA from 1 species